CGGGCUGUAGCGCAGUUUGGUAGCGCGCCUGCUUUGGGAGCAGGAUGUCGCAGGUUCGAAUCCUGUCAGCCCGACCG
rnacentral:tRNA from 1 species